CUAGACGUUAUCAACAAACUUGAUUAGCAUUGUAAGCGUGAGAAACGUGGGUGCCAAUGAAAGAUUUGGACAAGGACUCAGCAUUACAAAUGAGGCGUCCUUGAACAAUCGCUUGGAGCUGGAUUCGAAUCGAUACGUCGACAGAGGUAUAAAAUCUUCCCGUCUUUUGGGUCUUCUGGUGCGUCUAGCGUGCAUCCUGGGACAAGCAUUACGCAGCAAUUACCAUAAAACGCUCGUGCUGUUAUGUUGGCAUCCUUGAGCCAAAUAUCAAAUUAUGAGACGUCUGGCUCGGAUACAAUGAGACAAGACCUUUCCCGAAGCGAUGCAUCUUGGGUAGCGACGGAAGAAGGCCGCCAUGUUGGAACAGACAGUUGUCCCUAAGGAAUUCGAACGGUUGAAAUUUUGUGUUUCAAUGUUUGCCCAAUGAGUUCCUUAUAGGGGAUUUCUCGUCCCCACGUAUUUAAACAUCACGGUAUACAUACCCAUAUAAUAAGUUACCAUUAUAAAGUCCGUAUGACGGAAGUUAAAAAGAAAUUUCCUAAAAAGUUUUCCCUGCCAAAUUCACCAGGCACGAACCGCGAAGACGUCUCGUUGGCCCUUGAUCCCGGCGACUUUUUCUUACGUUUCGGCUCGUUCGAUCCAUCGGCGUCGCGACGACACACCCAAUAUCAUAAAUUUCUCAGUGCUACUCGCAUUGCAGGCUUAAAUACAAAUAUCGACAAGCUAUACGUAAGAACCACUUGGCUACAUAGAACCAGACCGCCUUUAUCGUUUGAAACUGUCAACCGUCGUAUGGCCUGACGCAAAACGUUAUUUUAUUUAAUUUCUCCGAAUUCUCAUAAUCAAAUACUCAAUAUACAUAUACAAUCCAAUUACGUAUCCCGUAUUGUCGUUAAUAUCGAUACAAUUGUCUAAAAUUAUAACUUUGAUAUCAUAACCUACGUCACGUUGCUACCUAUGGACACAGCCAAUACAGUGCGCGCGCACCCGUCUGAAGUUGGCUGCGUUCGAUUCGAUUUCCACGUUGCAGCCAACUUCACGUUGAUACCCCCGUACUCGGCCAAACUUCUUUUUCCCAUGCAACUGAAUUUUCAAUCGAUUAAAAUUCAUUGCAAUAACCAAACUCCGUGACAAUUCCAACCCGAACAAUACCGAUGAUGCCCGAACAGCCGUCGGGGCACUUCCAAACGUUGCUUUACGCUUCCAAUCUUUCCAUUGCUCGUCCCGUGAACGUCCACAUUCCAAAGCUUCACUGCCGAUACAACCAACAUGGCAGAUAUUGAUAUUGGAUUUGCCGAGCACAGAGAACCACGCAAUUUCACAAGUCAGUCAACAGAAAUGUAAAAAGGUACGUGUAGUGUCGAUCGGAUAAUGAAAGAAGAAUGGAUUAAUUGAAGAAAAAAAAAAAAAAAAUAGUUUAUUUUAUACAAAAUACAUCCGAGGGAUAACAGUGAAAGUUUUUUAAUAAUAUAAUAAUACUAAUGGAAAAAAUUCACUGGCUACCGUUAUUUUUUUACAUUUCCACUAUUUUCAAUAUAUUUUUAAAAAUUUUUCUCCGUCCCUCACUUUUAUUCCUCGCAAUCAUUACUCGCCCUCUCUCUCUCUCCCACUCACGCAAUCAUACGAUCGUCAUACACGCGACAUACACACUCGCCGCUAAAUUCUACAUUCUGUUUACCUAGAGUUAAUUCUAAUAGCUAAUAACGUCUAUGUUAUGCAAUAAGUUAGCGUACGUUCAAGUGGUCAUAAUUAUUGGUACGUGCAAUAAAUAUACAAGUAAUAUCACAA